rnacentral:tmRNA from 1 species
GGGGAUGCCAGGUCUCGACGGGAGAGGCUGGUUCCGGAUUGCGAGCCGAGAGGUACCGACCUCGUAAAAUCAGUACAAAAAACAAGUGCCAAUCGCACAAACUACGCAACCCUUCCUUUAGCUGCAUAAGCUAAUUGACGGGAAGCUGACCUCCACAGAUGAGGUCACGUCUCCUGGGACCGUUUGCCUGAUCGGGACCAGCCAAGGCGUCAUAAAAGUCAGGCUGCUCUGGACCGCGCCGUGAGGUCCAGCUAAGAGGGCUUUCGGGUCCGAGCGGAUAGCUUGGGUGCAGUUCGGUCAGUUGAUCUGCAUGCAGGCGAACCUGAACAACUGACUACGCUCGUAGAGAUUCGAGAGUCUAAUCUUUCGGACGCGGGUUCGAUUCCCGCCAUCUCCACCU